rnacentral:rRNA from 1 species
UUCGAAUGGCAUCAUUUGAUUAUUAAAGUUCCAACGGUAAAAGAUGAGUAUGCGUCCCAUUAGCUAGAUGGUAUGGUAACGGCUUACCAUGGCUACGAUGGGUAGGGGUCCUGAGAGGGAGAUCCCCCACACUGGUACUGAGACACGGACCAGACUCCUACGGGAGGCAGCAGUGAGGAAUAUUGGACAAUGGGCGCAAGCCUGAUCCAGCCAUGCCGCGUGCAGGAAGACGGUCCUAUGGAUUGUAAACUGCUUUUAUACAGGAAGAAACACCUCUACGUGUAGAGACUUGACGGUACUGUAUGAAUAAGCAUCGGCUAACUCCGUGCCAGCAGCCGCGGUAAUACGGAGGAUGCAAGCGUUAUCCGGAAUCAUUGGGUUUAAAGGGUCCGUAGGCGGCCAAAUAAGUCAGUGGUGAAAGCCCAUCGCUCAACGAUGGAACGGCCAUUGAUACUGUUUGGCUUGAAUUAUUAGGGAAGUAACUAGAAUAUGUAGUGUAGCGGUGAAAUGCUUAGAGAUUACAUGGAAUACCAAUUGCGAAGGCAGGUUACUACUAAUAU